UACGAAGGGUGCAAGCGUUACUCGGAAUUACUGGGCGUAAAGCGUGCGUAGGCGGUUUGUUAAGUCCGUUGUGAAAGCCCUGGGCUCAACCUGGGAAUUGCAGUGGAUACUGGCAAGCUAGAGUACGGUAGAGGAUGGUGGAAUUCCCGGUGUAGCGGUGAAAUGCGUAGAGAUCGGGAGGAACACCCGUGGCGAAGGCGGCCAUCUGGACCAGUACUGACGCUGAGGGGCGAAAGGUGUGGGGAGCGAACAGG
rnacentral:rRNA from 1 species